rnacentral:tRNA from 1 species
GUAGGAGUGGUCUAGUGGUUAGGAUUCGGUGCUCUCACCGCCACGGCCCGGGUUCGAUUCCCGGCCAAUGCA